UACAGAGGUCUCAAGCGUUGUCCGGAAUCAUUGGGCGUAAAGAGCGUGUAGGCGGCUCGGUAAGUCCGCUCUGAAAGCCCGGGGCUCAACCCCGAGAGGCGGGCGGAUACUGUCGGGCUAGAGUCCGGAAGAGGCGAGUGGAAUUCCUGGUGUAGCGGUGAAAUGCGUAGAUAUCUGGAGGAACACCGGUGGCGAAGGCGGCAUCCUGGACCAUGACUGACGCUGAGGCGCGAAAGCUAGGGGAGCAAACAGG
rnacentral:rRNA from 1 species